AAUAUAGGCAUUUAUUGACUUUCAGACGUCACGUUUGACCAUCCGUCUUAUUCAAAAAUUUUCUGAAUAUAUUAUUUAUUUUGUUAUGAUUUGUUUUAUCAUUAGGUAUACUUAAUUUAUUUGUCUUUAUAUUUCUAUAAAUUUUUUUGAAUAAGACGGAUGGUCAAACGUGAUGUGCGGAAACCGAUAAAUGCUUAUAUU
rnacentral:pre_miRNA from 1 species